rnacentral:misc_RNA from 1 species
GAAAUGCGAUAAGUAAUGUGAAUUGCAGAAUUCAGUGAAUCAUCGAAUCUUUGAACGCACAUUGCGCCCCCUGGUAUUCCGGGGGGCAUGCCUGUUCGAGCGUCAUUUCACCACUCAAGCCUCGCUUGGUAUUGGGCAACGCGGUCCGCCGCGUGCCUCAAAUCGACCGGCUGGGUCUUCUGUCCCCUACGCGUUGUGGAAACUAUUCGCUAAAGGGUGUUCGGGAGGCUACGCCGUAAAACAACCCCAUUUCUAAGGUUGACCUCGGAUCAGGUAGGGAUACCCGCUGAACUUAAGC